AUGCGCACCGAAAUCUGCCUGACGGAGCUUGAGCGGCUGAGCACUCACCUAUUUGCCCGGCAUUGGCUCCCUUCUAGUGGGAUCGCCGGGCACUCAGUUGGCAUCUUGCUAGGUGUUAAGGAUGCCACCUUUGAGGUGGGUGGUAUGGAUAGGGGAGAGUUCUUCGUCAGUAUGGAGUUGUUUGAGCGUGCCAUCAACUUCAAGUGGGAGAUCAUCAUUGUGUAUGGCCCUGCUGACCACCGCCGAUCGGCGUCCUUCCUUGAGGAGCUUAAAAGGAAGGUAUCGGCUGCCCCCUUGCUGGUCGUAGUGGGUGGUGACUUCAACCUCCUCCGCUUUGUGGAGGAUAAGAGCAACGAUCUAGUAAACUUCCCACGGAUGCAGAUGUUCAAUGAUUGCAUCGCCAAGCUCGGUCUGCGGGAGUUAGACAGGGGUUGGGGUGCGAACCUUGGGCGGGACCUUCAGGACCGCAAGAAGGCCAUUCUGGCCUCCAUCCAAGCCCUAGAUCUCCAGGACGAUUCGGUGGGACUAGUCCCAGAUGACUGGAUGAUCCGGUACGACCUUGAGGAUCAGCUCAUGGUCAUCUACACCGACGAGGAGGCGUAUUGGCGGCUUCGGGGAACCCAAAAGUGGGUCCUCAAGGGUGACGCCAAUACCGCCUACUUCCAGGCCAUCGCCAAUGGUCGUAGGAGGCGUAAUACCAUUCCCCUGCUCUCGGAGCGGAGACCCUCCUGCAACGUCCGGCUGACAUCUGCGCCCAUGUGUAUGGCUUUUAUAAGGCCCUCUUCUCUGCCCCCCCCCCCUAGGGGGGGCUUGGUACUUGCUCCAGACUUCUGGGUUGGCACCCAGUGCAUUUCGGCUGAGGAAAAUCUAGCCCUCAUGGCUCCAUUUUCUAAGGAGGAAGUGUGGCUGGCGAUUAAAGGGAUGAACCCCUCAUCCGCCCCUGGCCCCGACGGUUUGCCCGUGAAGUUCUUCCAGACCUUCUGGACUACUAUAAAACCGGAGAUCAUGGCCCUCUUCGAGGAGUUCUAUGUGGGCUCCAUUGACCUCUAG
rnacentral:rRNA from 1 species